AGGGGAGUUGGCGCAAUGGUAGCGCGUUGGUUUUCGGAUACGAAAGUAUGGGGUUCGUUCCCUCAAGCGGAAACACCAAAGGUUGUGGGUUCGAUCCCCAUGCUCCUCGU